AUCACUGGGGUGAUCCUGCUGGCUGUUGGAGUCUGGGGCAAACUUACUCUGGGCACCUAUAUCUCCCUUAUUGCCGAGAACUCCACAAAUGCUCCCUAUGUGCUCAUCGGAACUGGCACCACUAUUGUUGUCUUUGGCCUGUUUGGAUGCUUUGCUACAUGUCGUGGUAGCCCAUGGAUGCUGAAACUGUAUGCCAUGUUUCUGUCCCUGGUGUUCCUGGCUGAGCUCGUAGCUGGCAUUUCAGGGUUUGUGUUUCGUCAUGAGAUCAAGGACACCUUCCUGAGGACUUACACGGACGCUAUGCAGACUUACAAUGGCAAUGAUGAGAGGAGCCGGGCAGUGGACCAUGUGCAGCGCAGCCUGAGCUGCUGUGGUGUGCAGAACUACACCAACUGGAGCACCAGCCCCUACUUCCUGGAGCAUGGCAUCCCCCCCAGCUGCUGCAUGAACGAAACUGAUUGUAAUCCCCAGGAUCUACACAAUCUGACUGUGGCCGCCACCAAAGUUAACCAGAAGGGUUGUUAUGAUCUGGUAACUAGUUUCAUGGAGACUAACAUGGGAAUCAUCGCUGGAGUGGCGUUUGGAAUCGCAUUCUCCCAGUUAAUUGGCAUGCUGCUGGCCUGCUGUCUGUCCCGGUUCAUCACGGCCAAUCAGUAUGAGAUGGUGUAAGGAGAAG
rnacentral:circRNA from 1 species